rnacentral:lncRNA from 1 species
GGAGAUCGACCAAGCAGAGGAAAAAAAGGGGGCAAACCCUUUUUGAUCUAAAAUCAAGCAAUUGGAGAAGAAAUUCAAGACUAAAUUAGUGCAGGAAACCCAAUUCUCAAUCAUCUAAGCUUUCUUAACAAAUGGUAAGGAUAAAGGAAGAGAGUUCGAGUCACAUAAAGCAAAAAGGAAAUCAAGAUCGAGGUAAAACUCAAAUUUAAAUGGUCAUGCUUCGCUCGGAUCGAACACACUUCAAAUGCCCUCCAUGCGCUUCCGCAAUUUUUGUAAAGACGUUAACGGGUCGAAAUACUUUUGUUAUAAAUAGCGUAUGUUUAGUAUUUAAACUUUAAACCUUAAUAAGUUGUCUUUUGUAAGUCCUAGUUUGUUGUAAAUGUUUAAAACACAAUGGUUUUUGUAUAGGCAACUACGUUUGUUCUAAUGGUAUGUAAAAACUUUAAAUUGAGUCAUGAUUUUUG